rnacentral:lncRNA from 1 species
CAGUUGGUUUUUGUCUUAUGCUAGUGAUUUCUCUUAUUAUGCCAAUUGAUUUAGAUGGUGGGAAGUAUUUGUCCAAAAAGGCUUGGACCAUAUCAUCCCAAGAAGUUAUAGAUCCAGGUGGCAAAUAAAAUAACCAAUCCUUAGCAUGGUCAUCUAAUGAAAAAGGGAAAGCUCUUAGUUUAACAUGAUCUUCAGAGAUCCCUUGAG